CGCGGCCUAUCAGCUUGUUGGUGGGGUAAUGGCCUACCAAGGCGACGACGGGUAGCCGGCCUGAGAGGGUGACCGGCCACACUGGGACUGAGACACGGCCCAGACUCCUACGGGAGGCAGCAGUGGGGAAUAUUGCACAAUGGGCGCAAGCCUGAUGCAGCGACGCCGCGUGAGGGAUGACGGCCUUCGGGUUGUAAACCUCUUUCAGUAGGGAAGAAGCCUUUCGGGGUGACGGUACUUGCAGAAGAAGCGUCGGCUAACUACGUGCCAGCAGCCGCGGUAAUACGUAGGGCGCAAGCGUUAUCCGGAAUUAUUGGGCGUAAAGAGCUCGUAGGCGGUUUGUCGCGUCUGCUGUGAAAGACCGGGGCUCAACUCCGGUUCUGCAGUGGGUACGGGCAGACUAGAGUGCAGUAGGGGAGACUGGAAUUCCUGGUGUAGCGGUGAAAUGCGCAGAUAUCAGGAGGAACACCGAUGGCGAAGGCAGGUCUCUGGGCUGUAACUGACGCUGAGGAGCGAAAGCAUGGGGAGCGAACAGGAUUAGAUACCCUGGUAGUCCAUGCCGUAAACGUUGGGCACUAGGUGUGGGGGACAUUCCACGUUUUCCGCGCCGUAGCUAACGCAUUAAGUGCCCCGCCUGGGGAGUACGG
rnacentral:rRNA from 1 species